CGCAUCUGGUUUGGGACCAGAGGGUCGGGGGUUCGAAUCCCUCUUCACCGA
rfam:Photobacterium iliopiscarium strain ATCC 51761 CFSAN029430_contig0266, whole genome shotgun sequence.